UUAACUUGUUAAAUCAUAAAAAAAAAUUCUUUCCGAAAAAAUACUGGAAUCAUGUAGAUAUGAAGUUAUAAUUAAAAAUGAAAGCAAAACAGCCUUCUUCCAAACCAGAGGAACACCCCCACAAGUCAAAGCUACAGCUAAGGUGACAAGAAUAAAAAUAAGGCUAUGCUGAAAAGUCUUGGAGUAUGGACAUGUCACUGAGGAUAUUC
ensembl:misc_RNA Gm27660 predicted gene, 27660